AUAAGUUCCGAAACCGUACUCUGCUUCGAGCGUAACUUUGUAUUGAAGCUGAGCUCUUCGAUAGUUUGCUCUUUGAUUUCUCAAAUCAGUCGACCAUGGGCCGCUCGCGCGCAGUGGCCCGUUCUAUUGAUGAAGACGCCCACCACAGGAAUUGAUUGAUUGGAUGCUGAGAAAGUUUAAGGAGAACGCAAACACUUGCUGAACUUUUCAACUUACUGUUUUUAUUUCAAUGACGCUUUAUUAAACUUGCUACGAAAUUGGAAAUCAUUUUCAAUUCUCUUUUCGUUUUAGUCCAGUUACAAGACUAUGCACGCGGUUAACUCGCUUCAUUACGUUUUCUCUGUGGAGAAAAAAGAAAGAGAGAAUUUGAUUUUUUGUUGCAUAGACUAGAUUACGAAGAAUUUGUUUUUCUUGUUAGGAAAAGAAAGAAUCGAUUUGUGUUGUAUGGACUAGUUUGCGAAGAAUUUGAUUUUCUUGUUAGUAUUUACGUGUGAUUAUUCAUUUUUUAAAGUCAGAACUCUUUCUGUUAGUAAGGAUUGUUUUCUGUUCCCAGAACUUAUUCUGGAAGUGAAAAGAUGGAGAAGAAGACAAAAGAAACAAAAAUGCAAAUGACUUUAUUUGAGUCAAGUACUCCUACUGUUUUAAGAACAAUGAGAAUGCUCUACUUUUGUCAUGGGAACCUUUGUGGUUGCAAUCCUCCAGACUUUCUGAUUCAUACCUGGUUUUGGAGUAUUAGAUAGCCUUUUGUAACUUUUUUGGUGUUUAUGUUGGUCCAUGGCCCUAGAUUUGCCUUCUGGCCUUUAAUAUUUUAUCGUCAUUGUUGCCUCACUCCUUUCUUCUCUCAUCCCCUUGUUUUUUGAGUAGGUCAAAGAGAAAAAAGACAGGUUCCGGUCUAGAGAGUGCGGAGACUGCAUCUACGGUAUGUCAAGAAAUGGUUGAAGGGAAAGCGGCACUCUACCACUGUAAUUAUUGUAAUAAAGACAUCACUGGCAUGAUUCGCAUCAAAUGUGCAGUGUGUCCGGAUUUUGACCUUUGCAUAGAGUGCUUUUCUGUUGGAGCUGAGGUUACUCCUCAUAAAAGCAGUCAUCCGUACAGGGUUAUGGACAAUUUGUCUUUCCCACUCAUUUGUCCAGACUGGAAUGCAGAUGAAGAGAUAUUACUCCUUGAGGGUAUUGAAAUGUAUGGAUUUGGAAAUUGGACUGAAGUUGCAGAACAUGUUGGAACCAAGAGCAAGUUACAAUGUAUUGAUCACUAUAAUGCUGUUUACAUGAAUUCUCCAUGCUUUCCUCUUCCUGACAUGUCUCAUGUUAUGGGAAAGAGCAGAGAGGAGCUCCUUGCAAUGGCUAAAGGACAUGUUGUAAUCAAGAAAGAGUUUCCUGCUCUUGGGGGGCUUACACUGGAAGAGGAGUCUCCCUCAUCUACAAUAAUCAAAAGUGAAGCACAACAAAAAGAUGUAGUUUGUCAAUUGUCAUCUAGCUUAAAAGCAGAAUUUGGUCCUUCUAUGAGUUCAAGCGGCGAUAAUACUUUCUCAGGUGCAGUCAAGAAGGCCUCCAAUAUGGCCCAGAUUAAGGAUUCCAUUAAAGUGGAAGAUUCUCAGUCGGACAGGAGUGUUGGUGAGAAAAAACUUAGGAUUUCAGGAGAGGAAGGGCCUUCAAUGACAGAGCUGAGUGGCUACAAUUUCAAGAGGCAGGAAUUUGAGAUUGAAUAUGAUAAUGAUGCAGAGCAAUUAUUGGCAGAUAUGGAAUUCAAGGACACUGACACCAAUGCUGAACGUGAACUGAAACUGCAGGUUCUGCGUAUCUACUCAAAAAGGCUGGAUGAGAGGAAACGUAGAAAAGAUUUCAUAUUAGAAAGAAAUUUACUUCACCCUGAUGCAUUUGAGAAUACCCUUUCACCUGAAGAGAGGGAAAUAUAUCAGCGUUACAAGGUCUUCAUGAGGUUCCACUCAAAAGAAGAGCAUGAAGAGUUGAUGGAGAGGGUUAUUGAGGAACAUCGGAUUGUUAAACGAAUACAGGUUCUUCAGGAAGCUAGAGCUGCUGGCUGUCGAACAGCUGCUGAGGUGAAUAGAUUUAUCGAGCAGAAGAAAAAGAAGGAAGCUGAUGAAAGUGCAAAAAGAGUGAAAGAAAGUGCAGUGGCUGCUCUAAGUGGUAAAGUGUUGCAGAGGCCUAGUAAUCUUAAAGGAGAAGUUGAUGGCAGUCCUCGUGGAGUUGUCAGGGGGUCCACUGGUUUACAUAUUGGUGGGAUUGACUCACCUUCGACUAUUGCAAAUAAAAUCUCAAGCUCCUUAGAUGAUUGGGAUAUCUCUGGAUUCCUUGGGGCUGAUUUGCUCUCUGAAUCGGAGAAACACCUUUGUGGCGAGUUGAGAAUACUACCUUCACAAUAUCUGAGCAUGCUUCAGAAAAUGUCAGAGGAGAUAAUGAAGGGUACUGUUAGCAAGAAAUCUGAUGCACAUAGCUUGUUCAAGGUGGAUCCAAGCAAAGUUGAUAAAGUUUAUGAUAUGCUGCUGAAAAGGGGAUUGGUCAAGCAUGACUAGUGCCACCUGUUUUUGUCACGCAGGUCCGUAUGUACGGAAGUGUCAUACCCUUUCUCCACGCCAGGCGGCUAUUUAGUUCCCUUGGCGCGCAUGCGGUUAGGACUGCGAAGUGAUUGAGCCUGCUAUCCUUCAUCACGUCACAUCAUCGGACUGGAUAUCUUCUCAUCGGACCUGGGCUCGGACGACUCGGCUUGCCUCAUGCGUCUGGACCAAGACUUAAGAUGAUGGACCGGUCAACUAAAGAAGGCCCCAUGGGCUUUGGAUCGGUGCUGCUUUCUUGGGUCUGGCCUUGCCUAGGGGUUGCGAGACCCGGCGGUCAUCAUUAAUGAUUUUCAAGGAAGAGUGAGAAUUAAACUUCUAUGGUUAAAUGUGUUUAUUAUACCUAUGUGAAUGAUUAUACAAACUAAACUUAUAAUGUUAAGUGAAGUAUAUAUUGAUAAAAAAAAUUAUUCAAUAAUUCUUUAUAAUAACGUUAAGAAUAUUUUUUUUUUAAUGUUAAGAAAAAUAUUUUCAAUCAGACACUAAUAUAUAAAAAAAUAUUUUGCAUUAUAAUAAUAUGUUUAUUAAAACAAUAAUAUUUAUUGAUAAUAGUUGCAGAAGUAACACCACUUUCUUAAGAAAAUUCAUGUUACAAGCUAUUACUCCACUUGUUCUUAGAUUGAUAAUUUUAAGUGCAAGUAGGAUGAAUGAUUAAUUGAUUUAAAGCUAAUCUUGACGUAUAAAACAUAGUUAAUGAAGAGCAAACAAGUUGCCAUGUGAACGCUACUUUGCUUUUGCAAGCUAAAUACUGAAUCCUGUAAUAGCCCCAGAAUCUUAACCUGAAACCCCCAACGGCGUAUCUUUCUCUGUUGUUAGGUGCUAUGGUGGUGAUACUUUCCUUUUUAACACCAUCAAUCUCUUUUCUUUUGACAUCAAGAAAGAAAUAAACAAGUACAUCCGAAUCUGCUAGAGCAUGGCCUGUAAUUGGUCACCUUCCCUCCUAGCAGUGUCAUUUCCACUUCACAUAAUCUUGAGGAAUUUGGCUGACAAUUUAUGGGCCAUAUUCACCAUGAAAUUUGGCAUGCAUCCCACAUUGGUUGUAAGCAAUCUCGCUAACGAGUGCCUUACUACUAAUGACAGUUUGUGCCAGUCGUCCUAAAUCUCUUGCCAUGGAAAUCCUAGGCUAUAUCUUUUCUAUGUUUAGCUUCACUCCUUGUGGAGAGUAUUGGCUGUAAAAGAGUUGCACAGGCGAUGGAUGGAGAACAAAAAAGUAGCUCCAAUAUAUUUGUGGUGGAGAUGAAGAAAUGGUUUUGGGAUGUAACCUUAAAUGUGAUACCCAAGAUAAUAGUAGGGAAGGGAUAUGCGAAGUAUACAGAAAAUGGUGAUAGGGUGCUGAAAGGAGCUAUGGAUGGCGACAUGCUCUCUGGGAUUUUUUUGAUGUAUCGGGUAAGUUUGUAGUGUCUUAUAAGCUGCCAUUUCUAAGAUUGGCUGGAUUUUGGGUGGAGCUUGGAACCCAAUGAGGAAGACCGCAACAGAGCUGGACCAUUUAUUGGAAGGAUGGGUAGAGAAACACUAGCAGAAGAAAGCUUCAGGCACAUUCAUGAUGAACAGCUGGUGCAGAUGAUCUUUCCAGUCGAGAUGCUGAUACCGUCAACAAAGGCUUUUUAUUUUCGCAAUCUCAGACACAACAACCAUUACAGAGACUUGGACACUAUCAUUAUUUACUCAAAACUAUGAUGUCUUGAAGAAAGCCAAAUAUGAACUAGACAUCCAUGUCGGUAAAGACAAGUCGGACAUGAAGAAUUUGGUUCAUCUCCAGGCCAUCCUAAAGACAAGUUGUAUCAUGCUGCUCCAUUGUCACUCCCACAUGAACCCAUGCAAGACUACUCUAGGAGGCUACCAUAUUUCAGCAGGCACACGACUUAUUGUGGAUGUUUCAAAAAUUCAUCAAGAUUCACGGGUGGGUUGGAUCAAACCGAGUUCUCAACCUGAGAUUUCUUCUCGGAAGAAUGUUUCGAAAAUUCAUCAAGAUUACUACGUUGAUACAUAUUAAAUCUAGAUAUCACAAACAGAAAAAAAGAAAACCUAUUGUAUUUUCAUUAAUGGGGAAAGAGAAAUAUUAGACUAUGUGCUAAGAUCUAUUGCAUGCACAGAAGCUAAAUGGAAAUUUCCAUUUACUGUCUAGUUUCUAUGGA